GGUUUUUUAGUAUAUUUAGUAUAUUUGAUUUCCAAUCAAAUGGUGAUAAGGACUA
rnacentral:tRNA from 1 species